CAACCUCAGGAGCAGAGAGAGAGGCUGGAGAUUCAGUUAAUCACCAGUGGAGAAUGAUAUAAUCAAUCAUGUUUAUGUAAUGAAACCUCUGUUAAAACUCCUAUCUAAAAGGAAAAAACCCAAACAAAAGAGUUCAGAGUUUCCAGAUCGGUGAAAACAUCAAGGUGCUCAGAAGAGAAUAUACCUGGAGAGGUGCAGAAUGUGGCUGUUCCCGAAUUAUAUCCUUUGUUAUAAACCAUAAAUAAGACUAUUUAAUCUGAUAUAAUAGGUACUCCUACUCAUGGAUAACUGGUUUUGAAAGGGGAUGAGAUGAUGUUGAAGAUGAAGCCUGUAGCAACUGACCAUCCACAUUGAUUUGCAAGGAAAAAAUUCAUCUCAGUUCUGCUCUAAUUUAAGAGGACUGAUGAUUAACAGCAGAAACAAUAGCCAACACCAAAGACAUUUCAAUUUGUUCAGCUUAUAAAUUCUGACUGAAAAAUUAAAGUGGAGCAAACUUUCUACUCAAUGGUUGUCAGAAAUUGUUGCAUCCAGGUCUGCUACAGAUAGGAGCAGAGCUUUUCAUGGAAGUUUUAAACAAGCAGAAUUAAAGAUCCUGAAGCAUUUCUUUGAAGAAUUGUAACAGCAGAUGAAACAUGGCUUUACCGGUACAAUCCUGAAGACGAAGCACAAUGAUAGCAAUAGCUAUCAAGAGGUGGAAGUGGUCCAGCCAAAACAAAAGGAAAUAAUCAAGGGGAAAGGUCAUUUUGAUGCUCAAGACCUUUUGCUGGUUGCAUUUCUGCACCAAAAAAUAGCGAUAGCAUCUGCUUAUUAUGAGGGUGUUUUGAUAAAAUUAGCCAAAGGUUUAGCAGAAAAAUGAGUUGGAAAGCUUCACCAGAGAGUCUUUCUCCACUAUAACACCAAAUAAGGGGAAUUUUGUGGGAGUUUUGAUGGCAAAUCCUUAGGCAUUUACCUUAAAUUUCUGAUUUGGCUCUUUUUGUUUCUUAAUCUUAAAAAAUCUGGUAAGACCACACAUUAUUCUUCAGUUAAUAACAUAAAAAUGAUUGUGUUGACAUGA